rnacentral:lncRNA from 1 species
UGCUACCUGGUGCUUCCAUACACUGAAAAGAAAGAACACUCCAAUCUGCCAGCCUUACGAUGUUGGGAAAACGCAUCAAACAGUGCUAAGGUUUUAAGCAUGGAGAAUAUAAUCCAGUUGUAAAGCUAUUAACCCAGAAAAGAUGUCACAUGAAAGUCUGUAAAUAUGAACCACACUCUACUGCCCAGUGAUGGAGAAACCUACUGACUGUGGUGCGCAGAUUCCUAAGACGCCCUCAUGGUAUCCAUGUCCGCAUCAUCUCCUCCCCCUUGAGAGUGGGCUGAACCUGUGACUGGCCUCUAACCAACAGGCUAUCGUGAAGCAAGCCUCCAUCAGUUCUGCAGCUACAAGAAAAUGAGUUCUGCCAACAACCAAGUGAGCACUGAAGAGGACCCUGAGCAUCAGAGGACAGCCUAGCCCUGGCCAAUGCCUUCAUUGCAGCACUGUGAGACCCGAACAAAAGAUCCAGCUAAUGCAUGUUCAGAAUUCUGAUUCCAGGAAACUGUGGAAUAAUAAAGCAGCGCAAAAACAGACUAAUACAGAGAGCAACUCUAGAGGCUGUAGAAUUGCUGUCACCUCAGUCCCUAUGCUAAGGAUGCUGCAUCAGAUCAUACGCACUGCACUGGUUACAUGGAUUACAGCUGCAGACUUCUAACACAAAAUCCACACACAAGUACACGGACCCAGGUGGAGGCCUCAGCCCCUUAUUUCCUGCUUCUCUCCACUGUCUUAUUUUCAAGCUGCUACUGGUGCACCAUGAGAACCUGAUUUAAUACUAAGUGUCCAUACCAAAGUUCAAUGUCUGUCCCUACAGCAUAAUAUAACAUCGGUUAUCUCAAACAAUUGAUCUGGCUUAGUUCCUGGCCCAGGUGCAUAUUAGUUUUUGGAAGAAACUGAAUACAUAUUGUAAAAGUGUAUUAGCUCUUUCAAGCCAAAGGGGAGUGAUUAAAUAGAUGACUUCUCCAGGGGUGGAGGCCUUCAAGUGGGGCGAGAUGAGGAGGCAGAGAAUCCUAAGCACUCUGUUUCAUUUUCUUGUGAGCAAAAAACAUGAGACAGUGUCCUUUGGCUGAAAUCAGAUCCAGCUCUGUGGCUGGAGCAGAGGAACAAGGCACACAGCAGUCUUCCUGGAGAGAAAGGAGACAGUCCCACUGCUGAGUCAGCAACUGCCCUGCUGCAGCCCCAGGAUAGGCAGAGAGCUUGGGUUUAGGGAAAGGAUUCCACCCAGUAUAGUGUUAUCUCUGAGCAGGGCUGUACGGCCAGCACCAUUCAACUCUGUGCCACCCACCAAGAAACAAGAGAGUUUUUACACAAUGGCUACUUGUAGAACCUCCGAACUACCUACAGAGUCCCCGUGGUGACAUGCUGUAAAGUACUCCGUAUUUGUUUCCACUAACUGGGUGAUUGAAAAUAAUAAAAAUUUAUUAUCUGAC